rnacentral:tRNA from 2 species
GGCCCUAUCGUCUAGCCUGGUCCAGGACGCGUGCUUUUCAAGCAUAAAACCCGGGUUCAAAUCCCGGUAGGGCCA